CCUACGGGUGGCAGCAGUGGGGAAUAUUGGGCAAUGGGCGCAAGCCUGACCCAGCAACGCCGCGUGAAGGAAGAAGGCUUUCGGGUUGUAAACUUCUUUUAAGAGGGAAGAGCAGAAGACGGUACCUCUAGAAUAAGCCACGGCUAACUACGUGCCAGCAGCCGCGGUAAUACGUAGGUGGCAAGCGUUGUCCGGAUUUACUGGGUGUAAAGGGCGUGCAGCCGGGUCUGCAAGUCAGAUGUGAAAUCCAUGGGCUCAACCCAUGAACUGCAUUUGAAACUGUAGAUCUUGAGUGGCGGAGGGGCAAUCGGAAUUCCUAGUGUAGCGGUGAAAUGCGUAGAUAUUAGGAGGAACACCAGUGGCGAAGGCGGAUUGCUGGACGAUAACUGACGGUGAGGCGCGAAAGUGUGGGGAGCAAACAGGAUUAGAUACCCCAGUAGUC
rnacentral:rRNA from 1 species